AAUCCCUUAUCGAUUAACAAUUAGAGGGCAAGUCUGGUGCCAGCAGCCGCGGUAAUUCCAGCUCUAAUAGCGUAUAUUAAAGUUGUUGCAGUUAAAAAGCUCGUAGUUGGAUUUCGGCGUGCGCUCAGGCUGGUCGGCCGUCAAGGUCUGUACCGUUUGGGUCACGCCCCACUGUAGGAUACUCACCGCUGUCCUUAACUGGGUGGCGGUCAAAGGGGGUGUGCACGGGGGCAACUCUGUGCAUAUCUCUGGGGUUCCUACUCUUUUACUUUGAGCAAAUUAGAGUGUUCAAAGCAGGCAAUCGAGCCUUGAAUACUUCAGCAUGGGAUAAUGGAACAGGACUGGGGUCCUGAUUUCGUUGGUUUCUGGGAUCUCAGUAAUGAUUAAUAGGGAUAGUUGGGGGCAUUAGUAUUUAAUUGUCAGAGGUGAAAUUCUUGGAUUUAUGAAAGACUAACUUCUGCGAAAGCAUUUGCCAAGGAUGUUUUCAUUAAUCAAGAACGAAAGUUAGGGGAUCGAAGACGAUCAGAUACCGUCGUAGUCUUAACCAUAAACGAUGCCGACCAGCGAUUGGGAGACGUUACAUGGAUGACUCCCCCAGCAGCUUGCGAGAAAUCACAAGUCUUUGGGUUCCGGGGGGAGUAUGGUCGCAAGGCUGAAACUUAAAGGAAUUGACGGAAGGGCACCACCAGGAGUGGAGCCUGCGGCUUAAUUUGACCCAACACGGGGAAACUUACCAGGUCCAGACAUAGUAAGGAUUGACAGAUUUGAGAGCUCUUUCUUGAUUCUAUGGGUGGUGGUGCAUGGCCGUUCUUAGUUGGUGGAGUGAUUUGUCUGGUUAAUUCCGUUAACGAACGAGACCUUAACCUGCUAAAUAUGUCACUGGUAGACUUCUGCCAAAACAGGUGGGUGUCUAGGGGAAAGUUUCGAUGGACUCCGACGCAUUCAUCUGUGGAUGACUACCAGGAUGUACUUCUUAGAGGGACUAUCUGUAUCAAAGCAGAUGGAAGUUUGAGGCAAUAACAGGUCUGUGAUGCCCUUAGAUGUUCUGGGCCGCACCCGCGCUACACUGACAAGUUCAACGAGUUUAACACCUUGCUCGAUAGGGCUGGGUAAUCUUUGAAAAACUUGUCGUGAUGGGGAUAGAUCAUUGUAAUUAUUGGUCUUCAACGAGGAAUUCCUAGUAAGCGUGAGUCAUCAGCUCGCGUUGAUUACGUCCCUGCCCUUUGUACACACCGCCCGUCGCUCCUACCGAUUGAAUGAUCCGGUGAAAUGUUGGGAGCUGGGGCCUUUUGGCGGCGGGGCAACUCGUCGUCAGGGAUUCUGCAAACUUCAUUAGACCUUAUCGUUUAGA
rnacentral:rRNA from 1 species